rnacentral:rRNA from 1 species
UACGAAGGGGGCUAGCGCUGCUCGGAAUUACUGGGCGUAAAGGGCGCGUAGGCGGACAGUUUAGUCAGAGGUGAAAGCCCAGGGCUCAACCUUGGAAUAGCCUUUGAUACUGGCUGUCUUGAGUUCGGGAGAGGUGAGUGGAAUGCCGAGUGUAGAGGUGAAAUUCGUAGAUAUUCGGCGGAACACCAGUGGCGAAGGCGACUCACUGGCCCGAUACUGACGCUGAGGCGCGAAAGCGUGGGGAGCAAACAGG